rnacentral:rRNA from 1 species
CUACGGAUGAAAGCGGGGGAUCGCAAGACCUCGCGCGAUUGGAGCGGCCGAUAUCAGAUUAGCUAGUUGGUGGGGUAAAAGCCCACCAAGGCGACGAUCUGUAGCUGGUCUGAGAGGACGACCAGCCACACUGGAACUGAGACACGGUCCAGACUCCUACGGGAGGCAGCAGUGGGGAAUUUUGGACAAUGGGCGCAAGCCUGAUCCAGCAAUGCCGCGUGCAGGAUGAAGGCCUUCGGGUUGUAAACUGCUUUUGUACGGAACGAAACGGCUCUUUCUAAUAAAGAGGGCUAAUGACGGUACCGUAAGAAUAAGCACCGGCUAACUACGUGCCAGCAGCCGCGGUAAUACGUAGGGUGCGAGCGUUAAUCGGAAUUACUGGGCGUAAAGCGUGCGCAGGCGGUGAUGUAAGACAGAUGUGAAAUCCCCGGGCUCAACCUGGGACCUGCAUUUGUGACUGCAUCGCUAGAGUACGGUAGAGGGGGAUGGAAUUCCGCGUGUAGCAGUGAAAUGCGUAGAUAUGCGGAGGAACACCGAUGGCGAAGGCAAUCCCCUGGACCUGUACUGACGCUCAUGCACGAAAGCGUGGGGAGCAAACAGGAUUAGAUACCCUGGUAGUCCACGCCCUAAACGAUGUCAACUGGUUGUUGGGUCUUCACUGACUCAGUAACGAAGCUAACGCGUGAAGUGACCGCC